AUACAACGUAAUUUCAUUAUUAAAUUGGACUUUGAUAUCGCUAGUUUGUGAUGAUGAUAAUAUUUCUCUUAUGCUGCGUUGGCGUAUUUGCAGCAGAUUCAUCAGAUUCGCUAGAAGAUAUCCCAUUUGAGACUGCCCAGGUCAUUCAUCAUAAACAGCGAAUUUGUAUUUUUCGUCCGGGGCAUCCAACUUGUUAUGGAAGUGAAAAGAUACCAGGCGAUCCACAAGAAGUAGCAGAUUUAUAUAAACUGCAAAUAAGAUUUCGAAAUGAUAUUAAAAAGCUAAAACCGGAAAGGCUAAAUAGAAGAGAACACUUGAAAAUUCUUAAAAGAUAAAAUAUUCCGCCAAUUUACUUGUUGUGAUAUUUUUCCAAGUUCUACAAGAAAACCGUUUUUAAAUAAAUUUGCUUUAAACAAUGUCA